rnacentral:lncRNA from 1 species
ACUCUCUUCUCUCUCUCUCUGCUCUCCACCGCCCCUCUCUGUCCCUCUCUUUCCCGGCGAGCGUCGCCGGCCUUUGCCGCCUCCGGCGCGGCGAGGUCGGCCUCUUCUCUUCCCCCUUUCUUUCCUUCCAUUUCUUCUCCUUUCUCCUGAAUUUAGAAUAGAUCUAGGGUUUCUAAAUUUCCUGAAGUUUGUUCCUCCGAUGAACUCCGCCACUGCCGCCGCCGUGCUCGUCGCGCCGCCACCCCCUCUGAUUCAGGUAAGCAUCCACAUCUCUCUUUCUCCUUUUCUUUCUUCCUCUCUCUGCUCCUCUAUCUCGAUCUCUCUCUCUUUUCUGGUCGGGCCGCGGCGGCCGCUGCGAGCCGCGACGGCGCAUGCAGCGCCGGUGGUCGCCGCCGCCCUGCACUCCCCUCUCUCUCUCCAUCUCGUUCUAUCCGUCUCUUUCUAUUUCACUCUCUAUCUCCCUGGUUUAAUCUCCCUCUCUAUCUCUCUUUCUCAACCUCUCUCUCUGCUGUCAGUAGCCACCACGGCCGCCGUGGCGCCAGCGACCACCGCCGCCAGCCGUGCCUCCGCUGCGGUGACUCGCGGCUGCUGCUGCUACUGCUAAUUCCCCCUUCUCCUUCUUCCUUCCCUCUUCUCUAUUUCCCAAUUCAAAAUCUCAUUCCAGCAGACUUCCAAUCUAAUUUCUAUUUCAGUUUUAACAUCACAAACUAAUAAAUCUCAGACUUCCAAUCUAAUUUCUAUUUCAGUUUUAACAUCACAAACUAAUAAAUCUCAAACUAUUUUCUGUUCCAGGAAUGGGUGAUUCGAGAUGGUUUCAUCGUGUCAGUUCAUCUACAGCCCAAGACUCCCCUUUUUAUUUUUGAAUUAACUGUUGUAACUAAACGUAUUCUGUAGACGUUAAAGAAAAUUGAUGUUAUCUCUGCUGUUUUUGAUUACUAUCUACGAGUGAAUCAUUGAGUUAUAGGAAGAAUACUACCUGCUUGUUUGCUGUGAUGACUGCUGGGGAUGAUUUAUGCUUUUGGGAUGGAUAUUUACUUUAUUGUUUGGAGUUUGCAGAAUGGGGAAAAAUAAGAUUUAUGGUAACUCAUCGUAUUUAUACUCGUUUGAGUCGGUUUGAGGGAUUUGGCUGAGUGUAAAAUUGAGAGCUGAGUGUAAAGUUGGAAGAUACGUGUAGUAUCAAGCUCUACGUGUUCAUUCAAG